UGUGAAGACAAAACUCCCAGUCCCCCAGAAAAGUGGAGGCAGAAGAGCAGUGACAAGGCAUUGUGUUCAACUUAAAAAGGAACGCAUGAAGAAUAGCUUUGUUUGCAUUCUGGUGAGUGUUUCUCUUCCAGAUCUUUGAAUCAGCUUUCUACACGGCUUAAGUGAUGGAACAGGAAAGACUCCAAUAUGGUAACAACGUGAUUUCUAGUGUUUUGGGUGAGGUUUGCCUGCUGAACAGCAAGACAAAAGAAGCUUAAAUUACAGAAGCAGAGAAGC